CGCCGACUGGGUCGUGGGGACCUCGUCGUCGGAGCCGGUGCGCGGACACUGGCCGCAGCUCGGAUCCGCGAUCGGCUAC
rnacentral:tRNA from 1 species